CUUCUGUCUCCUUCUAUGAAACACACACACACACACUCUUCAUCUCAAAUUCCAAAUGGACUUGUUUGUAUCAUGUAGCAUGUAAUCGAUCGGUGUUCCAUUACCAUCACUAAUUCAUGUUUUUCUAAAACAUGGAUCGAUCCACAACGAAUUACGAAUGUAAAGUGUACACGGAUCGAUUGCAAGUUCUGAUAACGAUCGAUCGAAGAUAACUUUUAUCCUUAUAUAAUUGUUAAAUACUUUUGUUGUUGAAGAAAUCACAUUAAUCUAAGGCGGAUCGUUGGCGUAACUGCGUAAGUUGCAGAUUGUAGUGAUGCUUCGGUUGCUUCAUGCUGGUCUGGUUGUGACAGCUGGAGAUGUAUGGUAGUGUGUGGAUUCUCUCGUAUGGUUAACGCAUUUGUUAAAAAGUUCGACAUUUUCAUGGUGGAUAAGAUUUCCCUGAACAAGAGCAAAUAAUAUUUAGUUACUUGAAGAUUCAUUCUUCAGGGCUUACCUUUAAUCAUGGGUCUUAGGUUUUGGGUUGACCUUUUGGUUUAGUUCGUUGAUUUCCUCGAAAAGUAGUUGGUCCUAGCAAUUCAACAAUGUCAAGAUAUUUUCGAGGGCUAUGUAUCUUUUACUUUGACUUUUAUGGAUAGACGUGACUUUAGAGCUGGGGGUCUCACUGAAAGCAGUCUCUCUAUCCUUUGGGGGUUAGAGGUAACUAGAGCUUAUAGCGAGUGCUGUAUUUUGUCUUUCACAUUCGAGAUUCAUGAGGGAAGUAUGAGAGUGAUGGUAAAGGAUGGAAGAGACAAAACUGCCACUUUGAAUAUUUUGAAUGGAUACAGCAAUAGGUUUCAAGAAUAGAACUUAAGUAGAGGGAUUGGGGUCAAGAUAAUUUUCCGCCAACACUCCAGAAAAGUAUCUCUUGAAAGUUUGGCUUGGAAACUAGAGGGGUACCUUACCGUAAGUACUUCAAAGCAUGCGUUUAUUGUCUUCAUGCUCAUAAUACUCGGGAUUGUUAACUUGAAACCAUCUCUUAGAACUAAAAGCUUUAUGUAACAUUCAUUCUCUACGCUCUUUUUCGAAACCAAUAGAAAGCAAGUCGAUAAUGAGCAGGUUUCGGGUUCAGAGUCGAAAAAGUGGUUGAUAGAUAGGAGCCAAAUUGCAUGAUCAAUAACCUCAGGUAGCAUUGGUUGUGAUACAUGAAUUGUUAGCUAUUAGCUGCUUAUAAGUGUUUGUUGGUGGAUCAUGAUGAUGUCCCGCCAUGACUUUUAGUAGUUGGAGGUUUUUGGGCUUGUGUAGUUGUGUUUAUCCUUUGAGUUAGGGUGUCACAUCUCGUAUCCUAGCAGAAGGCGUUUUAGUAGUAACUAAUUAUUAGGCUACUACAAAGAUGGCAAGAAUUAAGAGUAAACUACUUGAGCCUGGAUAUGUUUGGCUUUAUAUUGAAAAUGAUUUGGGUAAUUAGAAAUCUAUGGAGAGAAAAAAGUAGGAUAGAAAUCGUGUAGGAGUUGAAUUUUAUUACUUGAACAAAUUAGGUCACAUGGCUCUGGUCUUCUGUAACUCAUGAUCAUAUCUUCUUGGCUACGCUGUGCCUGGAAUCACUAUAGGUACCACUUUCUCUUCUCUUCUCACAAGGGUUUCUCUUUGCAUUUUGUUGCCACUACCGUGAGGGUUUCCCGUUUUUCGUUGAUUAAUAAUUUUGUCUUCUCUAGGCCAGGACGAACUUGGUAUUCUAAAGUUAUUGAUAUAGCACUAGAUGCAUAAGCAAAGACUUGUAUAUAUCAUAGUUGUCGAUAGCGAGCGUAGCGAUCGCUAUAGCACGCUACGUAGCGUAUAGAUCUAGGCUCGCUAUUAGGGUUGUAGCGAUAGAUAGCGAUAGUAGGGAAUUUUUUUUUACUAAAAAUAGAAAUUAAAUAUAGCUAUAAAAUAGCUGGAUUUUAGGUUUUUGUUAAGUAUACAUGUAAAAUAGCAUAUAUACAUACCAGGGUAUUUUGAUAUAAUAUACAUAUAAAUUUUAAAAAAAAAAAUUCUAGUGUAUCGCUAUUUAUAAAAUAGCCGCCGCUAUUUAUCGCUAUUCGCUAUGUAGCAUAUAGGUAGGUACCUUAUCGCUAUUUGUCACUAUUCGCCAUUAACAACUAUGGUAUAUAUAUCAUGUGAAACUCAAAACAUUUUCCUUAAUGACAGUGUUCCACCACAGGCUGACAUGAUCCUACUGUUUGCAGCUCUUAUUACAUACUUGCUUCAAGUACAUUAUCAGCUGCUUUGAAAGUUGUGAAUUGAAACUUACACUCGUAUAUGGUUUGACACAUUAUCAAGAACAUGUGGGUCCUCACAGUUUCCUUGUUCUAGUUUCCCUGCCUCUUUUUUAUCCUUAUCUCACUCAAAUUUACUUGGCAGCUACACUUUUUGUUUAAUAGUGUUCUGCGCUUAUCUCAUAUAAUGCUACUAUCUGGAAUCGAGUGAAGAAGCUGAAAUGCCAUAGAUUUCUGUUGAAACUUAUCCCUCAUUUUUGUUUCUAGGUUUAUCUGAAGUCACAAAGUUUGUGCACUAAAUAUGUCUAUUUCUACUUCUAGAAAGAACUGAAGUUCAGAGAUACUGCUAGUCCUGCAGAAUCUUUUAAACCUAAAUCUCACCUCUUUUGGACUUCAGUUAGGUGGUGCCAAAGCAUCGUAAAAUAAACAUUGACGUUAGUUAUGUGGUAUUUGAGGCCAAACAUCUCUUAUGAACCCAACACUGUAAAGGACAGAGGGAUGUGGGAUUCGUCCUGUUUUUUUCUUUCAUAUUGAUUGCACCUGUGCGUAUAUUUUGUGCAACUUGCAUGUGUAUUGUAAGUAUUAUAUGUGGCUUAGGAUCUUUAUUUCUUAUUAUACUUUAACUCAUGUCUAUUAAGCAUAAUAUGUAAAUAGAAGUUAUUUGUAAGCUUACCCUGACAUCUGAAACCGGGCUUGUAAUCUGGUGCUCCUCUUUUGCUUUGUGGUAUCGCUCAAUCACUGACUUCAUGCUGCACAAAUUUUCUUUAGUUUGUAACUGCAAAUAAGUACAAACUGCAAAUACUAGAUUGAUUUGACAGACUGCUUAUACCUAGCUACAUGCAAUAUGAAAUGUCAAAAACAACAUGGCUCAUUAAUUACCACCAAGAGCAUUAUAUUCAAUUGCAAGUAUCACCCUAAUUGGUUCUACUGUAAUAAGAUUCGCUUUAGGCCUCUAAAACGGUUGAGCAGUUCUCUAUAAGAUAUACUUUAACCAAUCACUACUACUACUACUACUACUACAGCUAAACUUGAAUCUUGUUCAGAUCCAAUACACGUAAAUCAGACUAGAUUAGUGUGCCAAACCUGGAUCUUGUUUACGGUUGAGCAGUUCUCUAUAACAACCCUUUCAGGGAAAGUAAAUCAAGUUAUAUGAUGGGUCAGUUUGGUUUAAAUCCAAAUCAAUUAAAUAUAUUUUUUUAAAUUGCCCGUAACAUGACCAACCCGUUUUGACAAUGACAGAGGGUAUACCUAAUUAGGUUAAUGUAUCAAAUCUACUAGUUUUAAGAACGAAAUAUGGAUUGCCUAUUAAUGUUACAAUAUGUGUAAUUAGCUUUAAAACUUCGGAUUCUACGUUUUAACCUAAAGCACUUUUGUGAAUGAAUAAAAAUAUAUUUUAAUUAGGGGUGACGUUAUAGAAUAGUAGCCAAGUUUCUCAUUUGUUCCAUUAAAGUCAUUCGAUCUUUUUUUCGCCUCUGAAGUUUCAUUUGAUGUUCUAAUCUUGAUACAGUAAUUCAAACUUGAGUGACUUUAGAGAAACAAGAAAAGAUUGAGCGACUUUAGGGGAACAAAGCACAAAUUUGGUUACUAAUCUAGUCCAAAAGUGUCCAGUUAACAAUUGAGUGGAGUGUUUAGAUGGAACAGGAUUGCUGAUUUGAGGCAGAGAAGAGUGAUAAUCCGAGUUGAACAGGAGAACAUUUAUCUGAGAUUUUGAGGUGAUCCGGAGCAAUGAUUUGAUCCGGCAAGGGUUUUAAGUUUGAUGUUAAUUCAUUAAAAAAAGUUGAUCAUUUGAAAAUUAAGGUUGCAUUUGAAUUGAUGGUUACCUUGGUAUUUCAUUAUUUUUUUCCAAUCCAUGUUAUUCAAAUGACCUGAAAACCUAGUAAACUUGGUUACUAUUAUGUGAAAAUUUUCCUUUAA